rnacentral:rRNA from 1 species
UACGAACCGUCCAAACGUUAUUCGGAAUUACUGGGCUUAAAGAGUUCGUAGGCGGUUGAGAAAGUUGGGUGUGAAAGCCCUCGGCUUAACCGAGGAAUUGCGCUCAAAACUACUUGACUAGAGGGAGAUAGAGGUGAGCAGAACUGAUGGUGGAGCGGUGAAAUGCGUUGAUAUCAUCAGGAAUACCGGAGGCGAAGGCGGCUCACUGGGUCUUUUCUGACGCUGAGGAACGAAAGCUAGGGGAGCAAACGGG